rnacentral:lncRNA from 1 species
AUAUCUUUGAGAUUCCACAUGUAUCAUAAUAAAAUAGAUUUAUGUAAUAAUCAUAAAAUCGAACACAUAAUUGCACAUACUUCACUAAUGUACUUAAUUUAUAAAUACGUUAAAAAUAUUUAUACUUUUCCACUCACUGAUCUAUGAAUAGAAAUCUGAUUAAAUUGACGAGCCUUUCCAAGCUUUCACAUCUCUACCUGAAACAAAGGUAUAAUUUCUCAAAUUUAAAUAUGACAAUUAAAUUAAUACAAAUCCAAAUCUUAACUUCUCAAUUUCUAUAUUUAUUUUUACAUCCCCAUUUCCCCAACUUUUCUUCUCAUUGAUUAUUUACUAGUCAAUCAUUACACAUAAUCAAAUCAAUUAAUUGCUAUACUUUCUUAAAACCAUCACCUUGUAUAUACACAAUCCCUAUGCAAAACUUAAUCCAUUAACUAAACUUCACUAUUUAUCAUAUAACCUUAUUCAAACAAUUAAAAUCUGAAAAUAAGGGGUUUAGACAAAAACAGCACUAACAUCCCAGAAUACUGAAUUGUAAGACCAGAUUCUGUAUAUUAAAAAUAGUCACCGAAACCAUUGACCGAAAUAGCACUAUCCUGGGCAGAAUUUCAAAAGUAGCACCUACAUGAAUUUCUUACAAAAUUUAAUUAUAAAUAUCAAAAUCGAAUCCUAAUUCCUUUUAACACUCUAAUACCUCAUAAAUCAAGCAUUAUGUAUCAUAUAAACACAAUAAUUGAAAGAUUGGAACUCUAAUUUGCAAAACCAUUUCAUAUUUCCUUCCUUUCAACACUAAUAUUAUUGUUGUUUUUAAUGCCUCAAACAUUUAUCAACAAUCAUUAAUUUUUGCUAAACCUUAAAUUUGAGAAAAUUUCCAUAAACUCAAAAAGAUAAUUCAACCUACUUACACCUACCUCUCUAAAUCAAUGGAGAAAUGGACAAUCCAAGCUUGAAGACCCACCUCUUCUUCUUUCUUUUUUUUUUUUUCUUUUUUUUUUUUUCAUUUUUUUUUCUCUCCUUUUCUUUCCUCUUUUCUUUCUCUUUUUCUCAAUUUUUCUUGCUUCUGCCCGUCUCAAC